rnacentral:rRNA from 1 species
ACUCCUACGGGAGGCAGCAGUGGGGAAUAUUGCACAAUGGGGGAAGCAUCCUGAUGCAGCCAUGCCGCGUGUGUGAAGAAGGCCUUCGGGUUGAUAAAGCACUUUCAGUUGUGGAGGAAAGGUUGUAGUUAAUACCUGCCAGCUGUUGACGUUAACAACAGAAGAAGCACCGGCUAACUCCGUGCCAGCAGCCGCGGUAAUACGGAGGGUGCGAGCGUUAAUCGGAAUUACUGGGCGUAAAGCGCAUGCAGGCGGCCUGUUAAGUCAGAUGUGAAAGCCCGGGCUUAACCUCGAAUUGCAUUUGAAACUGGCAGGCUAGAGUCUUGUA